AUUGAACGCUGGCGGCAGGCCUAACACAUGCAAGUCGAACGAGUGGCGGACGGGUGAGUAAUGUCUGGGAAACUGCCCGAUGGAGGGGGAUAACUACUGGAAACGGUAGCUAAUACCGCAUACCAUCGGAUGUGCCCAGAUGGGAUUAUCUAGUAGGUGGGGUAAUGGCUCACCUAGGCGCCGAUCCCUAGCUGGUCUGGGAGGCUGACCAGCCAAACUGGAACUUAGACACGGUCCCGAAUACGACGGGAGGCAGGAGUGGGGAAUAUUGCACAAGGGGCGCAAGCCUGAUGCAGCCAUGCCGCGGGUAUGAAGAAGGCCUUCGGGUUGUAAAGUACUUUCAGCGAGGAGGCGUUACUCGCAGAAGAAGCCCCGGCUAACUCCGUGCCAGCAGCCGCGGUAAUAC
rnacentral:rRNA from 1 species